rnacentral:sRNA from 1 species
UAUUUACUUACCCUCCAAACCUUAUUGUUUAGUUACUAUAGGGCUUGGAGAAAUGUCGGUGGGUAGCCUUAAUUAUAAGAAAAACCUUUUAUAUAUAGUAGUCUGAUAAAAGUUACUUUUGAAAAUAAAGAAAAAAACUUUCAACAACGGAUCUCUAGGCUCUUGCAUCGAUGAAGAACGCANUGAAAUGUGAUAAGUAAUGUGAAUUGCANAAUCUCGUGAAUCAUCNAAUCUUUGAACGCACAUUGCGCCCAAUGGUAUUCCAUUGGGCAUACCUGUUUGAGUAUCAGAAUCCUUUUAAUUAUCAAACUUUUAUGUAUAGAGAUGUAUAUAAAGAUGUUUGGAUAUAAAAUUGAGAAAAGUAGGUAUUAUUUAUAAUACUACUUUCUUAAAAACCAGAAAUAUUAUGUUUUGAUUUUUCUUCAAUCUCAUUUUGUAUAUUAUUUAACAAAUGAGUACGAGUAAAAAUAACAAUACUUUGGAUGACCUCANAUCAGGUAGGGAUACCCGCUGAACUUAAGCAUAUCAAUAA